GUAAUUAUAGUUCAAACAGAACAUUAGAUUGUGAAUCUAAAGACAGAAGUGAAAAUCCUCUUACUUACC
ensembl:Mt_tRNA